rnacentral:lncRNA from 1 species
GCCCCGCUGCAGUUCCUGUCUACUCAGAUAAGCAGCAGUGCUGCUGCAUGAAACCACGGCUGCACUAUAGUUAUUCACUGCCCCGGCUUUUACUAUUCCCCUACCUCCUCUUCUCUGAUGAUUCCUGAGCCUUCCUGAGUUAUGACAUAAAGCUGUGUUUUAGGGCUGAACAUUCCAGAAUUUCUUAUUCUCUACACGUUGAGCUAGCCAGCUGUGGGUCUUUGUGAUAACCACCAAUUGAAUUCUGUGUCCAUUUCUUUAUCAUAGUAACUGGGUUCAUUUUUCCAGAAUGAAGAUCAUCUACGCCACUCUAGUUUGUGUCCUUCAGUAACUUCUUGUCCUCAGACUGAAGCACAAACUCAUCCGAUGGACCACCUCCCGCCCCAGACCUUGUAGAUGAUGAAUCCUUGGAUCAGCAAGCUUGGCCUCUGUCCUUUGCUCACAGAACUCUGUGUUCCCCACACCCUCGCCUUCCCCCUCCUGGCAUGGUCUCUCUUACUCCACACCUGCGCACAACCUUCUCCUGCAGCUCUCUCAGCCCAUCUUUCUCAACCGCUUCUCUGACAUGGCAGUUGUGGGAACUCCCUUUACCACAGGAGGCAUAAGCUUUCUUCCCCUGAUCUGCAAACUCCUUGCCAGUCAGGCCAGGCUUAUUAAGAUUUGUGUUGCUGGGACCUGCAUAUUCUUUAGAAGGUAGAAUGACCAUUUGUUGAAUUGCUGUGAGAUUUAUAGUAACUUUCUGGCUUAAAAGCUUUCCAUUUUAUCGUUUUACCAGGCAUUGACAUGUCUGUUUUUUUUUUAAUAUGGAUAAUAUAUUGAAUGAAAAUUUAGCUUUCCACGCAACUUCCUUCUCCUCACACGCAUUAUCACAUCAGUCCAUAGAAGAUCACAUCGUCAAAAUAAAACAAGUCAAUGCUUGUUGAUAAGACACUGUAGACGGAUUGCAUUUUCUUGCUUAUGAGCCCUUCUUUACCAACUUCGCCUUUUAAAGCACUCAUGAUACAGGCCUGAUACACUGUUCUCAUCCGAACCCACGUAGCUUCUCUUCCCCAGGCAGCCUGCCUUGGAAGGCAAGGCAUGUCAUCCCUUUCACAAGCGUGAUGAUUUGUGGCUGAGACAGGAGAAGCUGCUCUCUGAACCACAUGCCCCCUGGUACAGGCAGGCUAAGGAAAGAUGAAUGGCAAUAUAAGACAGACAUCUGAAUGUUUCAUAUUAAAUUAGUCCCACAGAGCACCCAGAAUUCUCAUUCCAUAAAUCACUGGGUAACAUAAACUUGCUCCCAGGUUAGAUUGCUGUGACUUUGGCCUGCGGUGUCAUAGAUAAUCUGAGAACAGUUAAACGUUUGUCUGAAAUAGUAAUCAUUUUCAGCAUAUUUACGCAGCAGUGCUGAGUGACCCAGACUGAUCUUGGCUGCUAGAAACAGCAUGUAAAUGGGAGUCAGCCAAUUGAGGAGAAGAAGAAGAAAAAAAAAAAAAAGAGUCACUGGUUUUCAAAUUCUUGGUCUGCUCUGAAAUCGCCAUGCUCCUCUUCAGAAGGUACGCCCCAAAGAGCUACCAUAAGGGAGUACCAGUAUGUCCUCAGCGUGUCCCCAGUGUGUCCCCAUCCCUUCAGUAAACUGCACUCACAGUGUCAUUUUUUUUAAACAUCCAUCCAUACCUGACUUGCUGUACAAAUCACAGGCUGAGAAAGGAGUUGCUUGUGCCAACACACACAUUUCUUCGAUAGUCAAAAUUAAUUCUGAGAGGAGUUCAUAUGCUCUUGGAUCUGUCCUGGUUCUCCAUUUCUGAGAUGACAUUUGUUGCUAUCCCAGAUACCUCAUACACUGAAAGAAACGUUGGUCUAGGGUUGAAGAGAUCAUCCAACUUGAUGCUUGCUAGCUGAGGGUCUGUCUGCGCUGCUGCCGCC